rnacentral:rRNA from 1 species
AUUGAACGCUGGCGGCAGGCUUGACACAUGCAAGUCGAGCGGAGUGAUGGUGCUUGCACUAUCACUUAGCGGCGGACGGGUGAGUAAUGCUUAGGAAUCUGCCUAUUAGUGGGGGACAACAUCUCGAAAGGGAUGCUAAUACCGCAUACGUCCUACGGGAGAAAGCAGGGGAUCACUUGUGACCUUGCGCUAAUAGAUGAGCCUAAGUCGGAUUAGCUAGUUGGUGGGGUAAAGGCCUACCAAGGCGACGAUCUGUAGCGGGUCUGAGAGGAUGAUCCGCCACACUGGGACGGGGACACGGCCCAGACUCCUACGGGAGGCAGCAGUGGGGAGUAUUGGACAAUGGGGGGAACCCUGAUCCAGCCAUGCCGCGUGUGUGAAGAAGGCCUUAUGGUUGUAAAGCACUUUAAGCGAGGAGGAGGCUCUUUUGGUUAAUACCCAAGAUGAGUGGACGUUACUCGCAGAAUAAGCACCGGCUAACUCUGUGCCAGCCGCCGCGGUAA